rnacentral:rRNA from 1 species
GAUGAACGCUGGCGGCGUGCCUAAUACAUGCAAGUCGAGCGAACAGACGAGGAGCUUGCUCCUCUGACGUUAGCGGCGGACGGGUGAGUAACACGUGGAUAACCUACCUAUAAGACUGGGAUAACUUCGGGAAACCGGAGCUAAUACCGGAUAAUAUAUUUAACCGCAUGGUUCAAUAGUGAAAGACGGUUUUGCUGUCACUUAUAGAUGUAUCCGCGCCGCAUUAGCUAGUUGGUAAGGUAACGGCUUACCAAGGCAACGAUGCGUAGCCGACCUGAGAGGGUGAACGGGCACAAUGGAACUGAGACACGGUCCAGACUCCUACGGGAGGCAGCAGUAGGGAAUCUUCAGAAAUGGGCGAAAGCCUGACGGAGCAACGACGCGUGAGUGAUGAAGGUCUUCGGAUCGUAAAACUCUGUUAUUAGGGAAGAACAAAUGUGUAAGUAACUAUGCACGUCUUGACGGUACCUAAUCAGAAAGCAAAGGCUAACUACGUG